GAUAUAUCUUAUGAUGAAAAAAAGUAUAUAGAAUAUUUAACUCAAGAAUCAGCAAAAAUUGUUAUUAAGCAAUUACAACUUAGCAACAAAAUUAACCGUUCAGUGUUUACUGUUACCGACUCUAGCAAUAAAUACACUUUUAAAACGUCUGAAGGAGAUAUUAGUUGUGGGAUAGAUUUUUGUACAUGCAAUUUUUCCACCGGAAUGUUAUUACCAUGUAGACAUAUUUUUGCGCUAAGAAAAGGAUUGGGUCUUCCUCUGUUUGCUAAAGAAGUCGUAAAUAAGCGGUGGACAUUAGAAUACUACAAAACAACGCAACGUCUUUUUAUAAAUAAACAGAUUUUAAAAUUUAAUAGUAACAAUGACAAUUCGAAAGAAAUGGAGUAGGAUAUUAAUAUUAAUACUUUACCAAUUAAUAAGCCUCAAACAUAUAGUCAGAAAAGAAGGAAAGCCCUAUUUGUCACAGAUUUAUUUGCUGAUUUAAUGGGACAAUCUUGUGAUACUUUAUUUGAAGAUAGACUCGAUACACUCAAAACUCUAGAAAUGUUAUGGAAAGAAGAACAUGAAGUAGUUUUAAAAAUUAAAAAUUAAGAUACUAAGGACGACAUUAUUUUGCCUACCUCAGGUGAAAAAUCAAGUGUUCAAGACACGUUUAAUAUUAACGAUAUGGAAGUAAUAUAUUCUGGCGAAACUAAUGUUAAUGCUAUAGAGGAAAACUACGAUUUGGAACAGAAUGAUUUACAUCAAAAUUAUGUGAAGCCACGAAUGAUUUAAAUAGUAUGUCGUAUACAGAAGGUAAUUCAGUUUCUGAAGAGUUUAAUGUUCAAACUGAUAUUUUGACAGAUACACCUAAAG